GAAAUAAGGACAUUCGCCCUAAACGAUAGUAUAAUUUUUAAAUUUUGUGUCCCCAAUUGUAGACACCAAGUCCGAAAGGGUUAAAAUGUAAUGGCAGCCCUGUUUAAGGUCAUCUAAGUGUCACUAGCUGUCGUUUGUAUUCAAUACAGUCUGACAAUUCAUCAUGAGGAACAAAUAGAGUCCAAACAAGAAAUAGUCGGAUUGAAAAGGUUAAUACGAAUAUGUAGAAGAAUCUAUGGACUGAUUUAUGCAUUGUCAUUUUGCAAAAUUAUAUGCUUCCUUUUGAUGAAGAAAAGAUAUCUACAGGGUGGUCAUUUCAACGCGAUAAUGACCCUAAACAUUCGUCCAAAUUCGUUAAGACGUUUCUCACGUAACAAAAUAUUAAUGUAAUCGAGUGGUCUAAUCAAUUUCUGGCCUUGAACUGUCAUACCGUUUCAUCUCAAACGAAGCACUUACUUAAUUUUUCUUAAAACUCGCUUGCAGCAAAGAAUCAAGGAAAAAUUAUUUACAGAAUGAUUGGUGGUAAAAGCAGUACUAUUAAUUGAAUCACGAGAUUCAUACUUAUCUUUAUAAAUUAGUUUGAAUAAUAAAUAUAGUCGAAGGAAGAGGAAGGAAGGAAUUUUGUUAUAUAAAAAAAGGGAUGCUAACCAUCAUAUAAUAUCAGUUGCUUAAAUAAUAGUACAUCUAUAAUUCUGUCGCCUCGAAUUCGAACGAAACUGUGGACGGGAACAAUGAGGGCCUCACCCCCGCGAGUCCUUCCCCUUGAAGGUAUAAGGGGUCAUUGGAAAACUUCCAAUAAGGAAGCCAGCGAAAUGCGAAUUGUUCGAAACGUGCCAGGGGUUAAUACGAGCUACCUAUACGUCGUGUGUGUAUAAGGUUCGAUAAGGAAAAGAAGAAACGAAUUCGUUAUUCAUCGACGUGUCAAUCGAAUGUAUAAAAUGCGUGCAAGUUUCUUUAAAAAGCAACGAGCUAGGGAAAUGGAUAUUGACGUUAACGCGAAAGAAGAUCGUAGAAAAAAAAGAGAUUUCGAUAUAAAAAUAUUUUGUUGAAAAGAAAAGAAAGUUUAUGCCGAAGACAAAACUAUAGACCAAGUUAUAAAAUUGUACAAACGGAGAAUCUAAAAUUAAAAUUUUAAUUCUAAAUCUAAACAGUAAUCCAGGUAUUUAAGGGUUAAGACUUAUUUAUAAUUUUUUCAAACACUGUAACAUAAGAAUUUAUGUAAGAAUGGUUUGAAGCAAUCAUUCAUAAGUCUAAAUUUUUUUUACAUUGUUUUUAAACUAUUUUUGUUUGAUAUUCAAAGAUGGUAAAAACUAAAUGAACAAUUCAUAUUUCUUCAUAUUCUUUGUGGUGCGAUUCACAAUCAGUAGAAGCUCAUUAAAAUAUUCAAAAGUGUUAAAGAUAAACUAUCUAAUAUUCCACACAAUCUUAACGAUAUAAUAAUUUGAAACCUAGAGGAGAGGAUAAACAAGUGUCUGAAGGGAAGCCGGUAGUAGAAUCGUGCGCAUACAUAGCCGAUUUUGAGAAAAUAGUAAGAAAGAAGAAAGAGAAAGGCAAUGAGAUUGAAACAGAUGGAAUAGUAGAGGUCGAGGAGAUAGACUAACCGUAACCUAAAAUAACCUAAGAUUCUUAAGAAAGAACAGAAAUAUUUUGAAGGAUGUUAAGACAGUUGUAUGACAAUUCUGUAAUCAUACAAAUAAAAUAUUUAAAAACUAAUGAAAUAUUAAAACAACUAAACCAAUGAUUCUAGAUUAUAAGAAUACAAGAUAAGGAAAAGGGGAUAUAAUGUAAG